rnacentral:lncRNA from 1 species
GCAGUUGCUAUGGUAAUCUAAAAAAGGCGGAGGUCUGUCCGGUUGCGCCGAGAGGUUCGCGGAUCUACUAACGAAAAUUGGCUGCUCUUCUUGGUUUGUGAGCUGAAAUUAGGUAGCCACCAAGCCUCUCUCUUGCUCUGUCGCUCGCUCUGCUCUUCAUUGUGCGGCCGCCUCUCCCAUCUGCUACGUUUACUUCUGUGUCCUCCUAAGAGCCGGUGCAUGCCCCGAAACACACAAGGGGAUGCAGCAUCGUGGCCAGAGGAGUACAAAAAACGGAGAGAGCUUGUCUGGGAUUAGUUGUGACUGUUUCACGGUGCAGCGACGGUGACUGGAUGGCUCUCUGUUUUCAUUUGGCCCUUUAGACGCCUUAGGCGCUUUUAACAGUUUAUUUUUCCUGCUUAUUGUGUGCCUAGUUAUUUAUGGAGCCGUUUGCUACAAUAUACUCUCCAGGCCCCUGUCUCAGACUUGGGCUAGAAUUUUAAAUAAAAGGUGGUUUCCGAGCCCUAGGGGUGCAAUUAUAUAUUUAUUUAAGCUUCAGUUUGGACUGUCUUCACAGGAAGGGAAAGAAUAGAAUUCUGGAACAUUUCUGUCCAGGGAUUUUCAUGUGAGAAUAACCCCAUUUGGAAGGAGCACUUGAAGAUCCUUAAAAAUGUUUUUAAAUUGCUUGCUGUAAGCCGAGUGCUUGCUCUUCCUUAUUGGAAUAGUUUUCUUUCCCGUUUGUGAGAUGGCGCGCACGCAUAUGUGUUUAAAACCGAUGUUUAAUUAUGGUGAUACCAAUUUGCAGUAACCAGACUGUGACACCACAUCCCUAUGGGGUCCUUCUAAAUCUGGUGUAAUAUGAAAGUGUCAGGCAGGCGGUCUGUGUAUUAUAAAUAGGGUACUUCAUCCAUGAUAAGCGAUUAUUAUCUUUCUUUCCCAAGUGUAAAAGACCUACAUAAUUCAAGAAGGUGCCAGUGAUUUAGGCCUCCUGAGUAUGAAUCCAAUGAGUCCUGAAGGGGACCCUACCUGUGUCAUCUUAUUGUUCAACUUGAACUAUUCAAUUUAUUAGAUUGGAAUGUAUUUUUAGAAGUCAACGCAGGAUAAAGCAAUGUUGGAAGCCAUUAGACCACCAGAACAAUUUUGCCCUGCAUAGUAGCCUUUGUUCAAUAAACCUUCAUUCACAUUAAAAGAAGAAAUGACUGAGAUUUCACAAAUUACCACUGACUGGGUGACAUCUCUGUCCCUCAAUUUCAUCAUCUGUAAAAUGGACAAAAAGUGCCUGGUCAGUGUAGAAAGGAUUAAAUAAGACGUUUGAUUGUAUAUUAAUGUCUUAUGAGCAGACAUGCUGUAUAGACACUAAAUAUUAUUACUAGUAAAGGAACUUUAUAAAGCUCAAUGUAAUCGGUGGAACUUCAAAUAUCCAGUGAUUUGACAUGAGCUGUAUUAUAGAAAUGUGAAUGAAAUGAUAGUUAAUCCUGCUAUGGGGGGAUCCAACUGCAGUUGAUUUGCAUUAAAAAAAAAACCUCACUGUUGGGGAAUUUCACUCCAUGUAUGUUUUCUUUAGCAUUUGUGUGUCCUGAAGUAUUCUGUAUGUUUCACAUUUGUGAACUGUUGUAAUCUUAACAACCCUGUGAAGUCUCCCCUGAAGUCUUAUUUUGAGAUGAUGCAUGUAUGCAUUUUCUUUGUUCUGAUUCUUUUGGAUUAUGCUACAUCAUUGUUCUUUAGGAUAUCAUUGUAUAUUUGAGAAAUUAUAUACAGUGUGUAUAUCUAUCCAUC